rnacentral:lncRNA from 1 species
GAAAUUCGAAUGAUUUCUCCACCCAGGUUACAAGUAUUGUUGUAAGGGUUGUUCUGCUACCUAGGAGCAUUUUCCACACAAUCAACUUUCUCCGGCUUAGCGAACGUGUUGCCAUUUUGGCAAUCUUGACUUUUAUGACCACCCUUGCACCAAUCACAAGUCAUGCCUUCCAGAUGAAAACAUAAUCAAAGUAUCCAUCUUUCUACUCAUGG